CAAAUCGGCCCAAUCCAAAUUCACCCCCAAAUCUCGCCGUGCCCUACACCAGACCGCACCUACCGCCGCCACAAGCACCGCACCACCACCGCUGCCCCCAACCAUCCAUCGCCGCCGACCACUGCCGCCGUCGCCUCUCACCCACCGCGCCCUCGUCGCCUCUCCCAACUACCCCAGCGCCGCAGACCGUCCUCCGCUCCGUCCACUGCCGACGCCGCCCCAAUCACCCCACAGCAGCGCCGCCGAGCACCCAACGGACAUGGAGCACCACCGGCACCGACCGGCCCCGUCGCCGAGCCACUCCACUGCCGACCACCCUCCUCCGUCGAACGCCUUCCAUCGCUACAUCGCGAGAUUCCUAUCUCAAGCAGGCGUCCUCCCCGCAAGCUUCACCCGAGCAGGGAGCCGGUCGCCACCACUCUUUCUGCCGUCCCACCUCGCAGCAAUCUGAGAUGCUACUGUCGCUACUGACUGUUGCCUACUUUGGGCCUUUUUAGACCUCCCAAGAAUUUAUCCCCUUAUCUGAUUAUAUAGUGGUGAGAUACAAAGAUGGAACAGGGUGCAGCACAAGGAAAGUGGCUGAGUAUGGAUGCGCCCCUUACCUCAUGAAAAGUGGACCUCAAGAUGUAUUCUAGCCACUAAAACCUUCACUGGAAACAGAGCUUUACUAUUAAUUGUUGAACGAGGCCACGAGCAAUGCAGCCUCUACCAUUACAUGUUCGCCUGUGAUUUUCAAACUGAUGAAUUUGGAGUAGAGACACUAUUGAUGUACACAUACCAAUCACCAGAUAAAGGAGUUAGAAGGAGGAAUUGAACACAUGAAGAGAGAGAGGGGGGGGGUAAUAGAGAGGAAUCUUCUGCAAUCCAUGGGGCAGAGCACAAUGCGACUUCCUCUGCUCGCUGCAAACCCGUCUGCAUCGUCCGUAGAGCAGAGCACAACUAGCAGCUCUGUAGCGACGCAACACUUCUGCUACCCAUCCAAAGAGUAAACCCUUCUUCAUCCUCGCCACAUGUAGUGCAGGUUGGCAUCACACUGGAAGAUCUUCUGGUCAACACGUAGUUGUACAAGUCAACUAGGAUGUCUACAUGGUGAUUCUUCUGUUCAGUGACAACACGAUCAAGUGGGGUGAGGCUUGUCUGUGGUCUUUCAAGCAGUACAAGUUUGAUGACUCUUCUGCUGGAGACACGUGGCCCUGUUUGAAUAAUGCAGCUUCACAUGAUGGCGGCGAGUCUGGUAUUCAGAACAUCUCAUGAAUAUGGCAAUGCCAUUCAACAAACGGCUGAGCAGAAAUAUACAAAAGUGUGAACCUGCCAUUGUUUCCUAGACAUAGCUGUAGCUGUAAGUCAAGCUCAUACUGUUUGAAGACAUAACAUCUUAUUAUCUGAUGUAAAUUAUGUUUACCAAUGUGGCUGGUUGUUACUGAACACAUCUAUGGAUAUUGAGAUCUUGAAUUUUUAGUCUUAA